UACGGGGGGGGCAAGCGUUGUUCGGAAUCACUGGGCGUAAAGGGCGCGUAGGCGGCGCGGGAAGUCCGUGGUGAAAGCCCGAGGCUCAACUUCGGGUCGGCCAUGGAUACUCCUGGGCUCGAGCACUGUAGAGGCAGGUGGAAUUCCGGGUGUAGCGGUGGAAUGCGUAGAGAUCCGGAAGAACACCGGUGGCGAAGGCGGCCUGCUGGGCAGUAGCUGACGCUGAGGCGUGACAGCGUGGGGAGCAAACAGG
rnacentral:rRNA from 1 species